rnacentral:rRNA from 1 species
AUGAUGUUCUCCCGGUUUCUGAAAGCUGACAGGCACACAGUACAAGUGCUGCAUCCAUCAUGGUUUGUCCUCCUUGAGAAGAACCCUGAUCCUGACCUGUACUUCCAUGGCACCAAAAAAAAGGGACUGGAAUCAGCAAACAAAUUUUCUGACGAACCAACCAACCGCGGCGUGCUAUUUAUUGACAAAGAAAUCUCGCGUUCCAAACGGGGCCUUUACAGGUGUCGAAUUCACUAUUCCGAGGAUGCAAUGCACCUUUGUUGGGAUGCAUCUCUGUGUGCGACCUUCCUGAUGGUCCAGAUUCAUAUAGCAGUCCAGCUCGUCUGCUUUCUUCUUCCUCCCGCUCCUUGUUGUCUCCGCCGUCGUUUCUUCAGUGUUUUUCUUCUUUUUUUGAAAUGGUCAUAUCUUCAGCUAGCAGCGGUCAUUAAAACGCAGGUCCCUCACACCGGCCAUUUUGAACAGACGCCAACAUAUAAUCCCAUUAUGAGUUUAUGA